AGAACGAACGCUGGCGGCAGGCCUCAAACAUGCAAGUCUAGGGGACGUAGCAAUACGUCACCGGCGGACGGGUGCGUAACACGUGGGAAUGUACUUAUUGGUUCGGAACAACUCAGGGAAACUUGAGCUAAUACCGAAUGUGCCCGAAAGGGGAAAGAUUUAUCGCCAAUAAAUCAGCCCGCGUCCGAUUAGCUAGUUGGUGGGGUAAAGGCUCACCAAGGCGACGAUCGGUAGCUGUUCUGAGAGGAAGAUCAGCCACACUGGGACUGAGACACGGCCCAGACUCCUACGGGAGGCAGCAGUUGGGAAUCUUGGACAAUGGGGGAAACCCUGAUCCAGCCAUGCCGCGUGAGUGAUGAAGGCCUUAGGGUUGUAAAACUCUUUCGGCGGGGACGAUAAUGACGGUACCCGCAGAAGAGCUCCGGCUAACUUCGUGCCAGCAGCCGC
rnacentral:rRNA from 1 species